AUCCUUGAUGUUUUAACAAUUGAGAGACAAUUGCGACAAGUAAGAAAGUGGGCCACCCGGGAACUGGAAUAUAAAAAUAGUUCCUUUUGGCUAAUAGAAUAAUAGUNGAUGAAAUAACAAAACUCUAAUUGGGCAGACCCUUAAUCAUUUCUACUGGACUAUGCAUAGGAUGACCCACAGAGCAGUGAAAAGAUAGAAUGUAUUCCUAUGGAUUCUAAGGGAGAACGAAGGACGGAGUGGAGGAUGGAGGCGGAUCGGUUGGAACGCGGGCUAGCCGGCCGGGAGGUUCGAUUCCUCCCCGAUUCCUAUUUACUCGAUCCAUUGUUCCCUUGUUCGUGCUUAAGGUUCAUAGUCCUUUAGCUCUUAUUACAGUGGUUAAUAAUGGCUUAUGAAAGUGAUACCACUUUCUUUACU
rnacentral:lncRNA from 1 species